ACUAAACCACUUCUGGCACAACGGGACACCGUGAUGAGUGCCAGAGUGCACAGAAACGCUGUUUACCUUCCUGCCACAGCAGUAUCUAUUUAUCUACUUGCACUGGUGUGCUUUCGAACUGCUAGGUUGGCAGAAGAUAAAUAAGUACCGUUGCGGCAGGAAGGUAAACGGCCUUUCUGUGUGCUCUGGCACUCAUCACGGUCCUCCAUGUACCAGAAGCGGUUUAGUCAUG